rnacentral:lncRNA from 1 species
AAGAGAGAACUACUUCUCGUGUUGGGUCAGUCCUAGCACAUGUCUCCACAUGUGUCCACAUUAUUAGUUCAACAUCUCCAUGUCCAUGACUUGUGAAACAUAGUCAUCAACUAAUACAUGUGCUAGUCUAAUAUUCAUGUGUGUCCUCACAUGAACUCCGACUAGGGACAACUUUAGAAUAACCAUACAAGUAAAGAGUUUCACAUACAAUUUACAUAAUUGCAAAUCAAUUCAAGUAGCCUUUAAUGGAUAUUCAAUGAACACAAUAUACAAACCAUGGAUACAAAUGGAAUAUCAUCAUCUCUAUGAUUGCCUCUAGGGCAUACCUCCAACAGUGGUAUCAGGAUUCCAGGUUACCCAUGAGGUAUACUAUCGUGUUUCCCCUUUAGAUUCAGUUCGUGUCCAAUACCUAUAGUCCAGAAAAAAGUCUAAAAAUAUUUACACUUUCCGCUAUCCUAUCGCCUUUUUAGCCUUUGCAAUUUCCGUUUCAGAUUCGCUUUGUUGAGUUUGUGUCCGUAGUUGAGUCUUGUUGCUGGUUUUGUGUGUUCGUGGUCGUAGUUUCAACCGCCCAUCGCUAUUUGAUUGUUUCCACCGCUAUCCCAUCCACCUUUACCCAAACAACAAGUUGAGCCCCCACAUUACUUGACUUGCCCCACUAGCC